AUUUAAUUCUGUUUUAUUAAUGAACCUAGUUCAUUAAAAUAAUUCCCAUUUUAACUAAUUUAUUCGGCAUAAAGUCACCUAAAAGAAAGAAAUUUGUAAAGAAGGGUUGGGGAUUGGGAUAAUUCAUGGACCGCUUGCAAAGGCAACCGGAACAACAAUAAAUUAUGUACAUACAUAUGGUUUGAAGAGCAACAGGUUACAUUAUUUUAUAAGAAAAAACAUCGAAGAAUAUAUUUUCUGUAUAAGAUCCAGAGAUCCUAUAGGUACUUCGUGCUUGGAGAAUUAAACAGUUAUCGUACUUUCAGCAGUUUUCAAGUUAACAGUUGUAUUGGGUUGAGAGUGAUUAUUUUCCGAUUUUUCUCAAAUAGGAAGUACUUUUUGAGGAAAAAGUCACACGAAGUUAUGCCUGGCGAUUAUGAAGGAUUAUGGAUUAUGGGCAUCGUUAUUAUAUUGUUCUUCGCCUCAUAAAAACACGUCUAAUUUUAGCUUCUGCUACAAACUCCAUAUCCAAAUCAGCCAAUUGCUGCAGAAAUCCCUCAUUUGGCCGAAUUUCACGACGCAUGCGGACUUUUCGUAUCGCGUCUGAGGCGGACAUUUUGCGACAAA